AACGAACGCUGGCGGCAUGCCUAACACAUGCAAGUCGAACGAGACCUUCGGGUCUAGUGGCGCACGGGUGCGUAACGCGUGGGAAUCUGCCCUUGGGUCUGGGAUAACAGUUGGAAACGACUGCUAAUACCGGAUGAUGACUUCGGUCCAAAGAUUUAUCGCCCAGGGAUGAGCCCGCGUCGGAUUAGCUAGUUGGUGGGGUAAAAGCUCACCAAGGCGACGAUCCGUAGCUGGCUGAGAGGAUGAUCAGCCACCACUGGGACUGAGACACGGCCCAGACUCCUACGGGAGGCAGCAGUGGGGAAUAUUGGACAAUGGGCGAAAGCCUGAUCCAGCAAUGCCGCGUGAGUGAUGAAGGCCUUAGGGUUGUAAAG
rnacentral:rRNA from 1 species